GACGAACCGUGCGAACGUUAUUCGGAAUCACUGGGCUUAAAGCGCGUGUAGGCGGGACGGCACGUCGGUCGCUGAAAGCCCCCGGCUCAACCGGGGAACGGGCGCCGAUACGACCGCCCUGGAGGGACGUAGGGGGACCUGGAACUUCCGGUGGAGCGGUGAAAUGCGUAGAUAUCGGGAGGAACACCUGUGGCGAAAGCGGCGCACUGGACCACAUCUGACGCUGAGGCGCGAAAGCUAGGGGAGCAAACAGG
rnacentral:rRNA from 1 species